UUUAAGGUCUAAUCUGCCCCAUGAGGAAUUAAAUGGCCGCGGUACUUUGACCGUGCAAAGGUAGCAUAAUAAUUAGUUUUUUAAUUGAAAGCUGGUAUGAAUGAUUGGACGAGAAAAUGACUGUCUCAAUUUAAUUUUUUUAGAAUUUUAUUUUUAAGUAAGAAAGCUUAAAUUUUAUUAAAAGACGAGAAGACCCUAUAGAGUUUUAUAUUUAGUUGAUUUUUAGUUUUAAAGAAUUAUUUUAUUAAUAUUUAAUUAAAUAUUUUAUUGGGGUGAUAGAAAAAUAUUAUAAACUUUUUUUUCAUUUUAACAUUGAUUUAUGAUUUAAUGAUCCAUUAUUAUAUGAUUAAAAGAAUAAGUUACCUUAGGGAUAACAGCGUAAUUUUUUUUUAGAGUUCUUAUCGAAAGAAAAGAUUGCGACCUCGAUGUUGGAUUAAAAUUAAUAUUUGGUGUAGAAGCUAAAUAAUUAGGUCUGUUCGACCUUUAAAAUUUUACA
rnacentral:rRNA from 1 species